AUGGCGGAGGAGCAGUUCCUGGCCGCAGCGGUGGACGCCGCCAAGAGCGCCGGCGAGGUGGAUCUGGUGACGGAGACGGACAAGGCCUGCGAGGAUCUCAUCUUCAACCACCUCCGGAUGCUCUACCCGGACCACAAGUUCAUCGGCGAGGAGACGUCUGCAGCCCUCGGCUCCACCGAUGACCUCACCUACGACCCCACCUGGAUAGUCGACCCUCUCGAUGGCACCACCAAUUUCGUUCAUGGCUUUCCUUUUGUGUGCGUCUCGAUUGGCCUCACCAUUGGGAAGAUUCCCACCGUUGGAGUUGUGUACAACCCCAUCAUGAAUGAGCUUUUCACAGCUGUUCGUGGAAAAGGUGCUUUUCUCAAUGGUUCUCCAAUUAAAACAUCGCCUCAAAAUGAGUUGGUGAAGGCUCUUAUGGUGACAGAGGUAGGGACCAAAAGAGACAAGCCCACUUUGGAUGAUACAACCAACAGAAUUAAUAAGUUACUAUUCAAGAUUAGAUCUAUACGUAUGUGUGGCUCUUUGGCUCUAAACAUGUGUGGAGUUGCUUGUGGUAGGCUAGAUUUGUGUUAUGAGAUCGGUUUUGGUGGCCCCUGGGAUGUGGCUGCUGGAGCUUUGAUUCUAAAGGAAGCUGGGGGUUUUGUUUUUGAUCCGAGCGGUGAUGCGUUUGAUCUGAUGGCGCAAAGAAUGGCAGGAUCAAAUGGCCACCUCAAGGAUCAGUUCAUCAAAGCAUUGGUUGAUGCAAGCUGA
rnacentral:rRNA from 1 species